rnacentral:lncRNA from 1 species
AACCAGUAUUAUGCAUGUAGAUUCGUACAGAACAUAAUUAUGAAUUAUCGGAUUUUUGAAAAGUUAGAUUCAAUCUAUUGUAUGGCUACGCAUUUAUUCAGAAGAAUAGUUUUUCUUAAUUAAUGAAGAUGGAGUCAAUGUUUUGUGGUGCUACCGAUGAAAUGUAAUAGUUGUGAUUGCAUCGCAAUCAUUUGUGGGUGUUGCACGUAAAGUUCUGAGAAUUCAUACACGCACUUCGGACAUUAUAGUCUGUACUUUUGUACUAUUCUUUGAAUUUUACAUGUUGAAUGCUCGAUGUACAAUGUAGCUGAGGAUAAUCAACUCUUCAUUUUUCAUGAGAAAGGGAGAUAACUUGUCUAGUUUUGGAAACUGUCGUUUUAUGAAUAUUACAGUCGGC